GACGAACGCUGGCGGCGUGCUUAACACAUGCAAGUCGAACGCUGAAGCUUGGUGCUUGCGCUGGGUGGGUGAGUGGCGAACGGGUGAGUAAUACGUGAGUAACCUGCCCUUGACUCUGGGAUAAGCCUGGGAAACUGGGUCUAAUACUGGAUACGACAUGUCACCGCAUGGUGGUGUGUGGAAAGGGUUUUACUGGUUUUGGAUGGGCUCACGGCCUAUCAGCUUGUUGGUGGGGUAAUGGCUCACCAAGGCGACGACGGGUAGCCGGCCUGAGAGGGUGACCGGCCACACUGGGACUGAGACACGGCCCAGACUCCUACGGGAGGCAGCAGUGGGGAAUAUUGCACAAUGGGCGGAAGCCUGAUGCAGCGACGCCGCGUGAGGGAUGACGGCCUUCGGGUUGUAAACCUCUUUCAGCACGGAAGAAGCGAAAGUGACGGUACGUGCAGAAGAAGCGCCGGCUAACUACGUG
rnacentral:rRNA from 1 species